GAUGAACGCUGGCGGCGUGCCUAAUACAUGCAAGUCGAACGAACGGACGAGACGCUUGCUUCUCUGAUGUUAGCGGCGGACGGGUGAGUAACACGUGUAUAACCUACCUAUAAGACUGGGAUAACUUCGGGAAACCGUAGCUAAUACCGGAUAAUAUUUUGAACUGCAUGGUUCAAAAGUGAAAUACGGUCUUGCUGUCACUUAUAGAUGGAUCCGGGCUGCAUUAGCUAGUUGGUAAGGUAACGGCUUACCAAGGCAACGAGGCAUAGACGACCUGAGAGGGGGAUAGCCGGCCCUAGAGCGGGAACGCGGUCCAGAGUCCUACGGGAGGCAGCAGUAGGCAACCUUCCGCAGUGGGGGGAAGCCUUGCGGAGCGACGCCGCGUGAGUGGCAGAAGCCUUGGGAGCGUGAUGCUCUGUUAUUAGGGAAGAACCUAUGUGUACGGUACUGUGCAGAGCUUGACGGUACCUAGUCGGGAAGCAACGGCUAACUACGUG
rnacentral:rRNA from 1 species